CAUAGGUUAAUGAGGCGAACCGGGGGAACUGAAACAUCUAAGUACCCCGAGGAAAAGAAAUCAACCGAGAUUCCCCCAGUAGCGGCGAGCGAACGGGGAGGAGCCCAGAGCCUGAAUCAGUGUGUGUGUUAGUGGAAGCGUCUGGAAAGGCGCGCGAUACAGGGUGACAGCCCCGUACACAAAAAUGCACAUGCUGUGAGCUCGAUGAGUAGGGCGGGACACGUGGUAUCCUGUCUGAAUAUGGGGGGACCAUCCUCCAAGGCUAAAUACUCCUGACUGACCGAUAGUGAACCAGUACCGUGAGGGAAAGGCGAAAAGAACCCCGGCGAGGGGAGUGAAAAAGAACCUGAAACCGUGUACGUACAAGCAGUGGGAGCCUCUUAAUGGGGUGACUGCGUACCUUUUGUAUAAUGGGUCAGCGACUUAUAUUCUGUAGCAAGGUUAACCGAAUAGGGGAGCCGAAGGGAAACCGAGUCUUAACUGGGCGUUAAGUUGCAGGGUAUAGACCCGAAACCCGGUGAUCUAGCCAUGGGCAGGUUGAAGGUUGGGUAACACUAACUGGAGGACCGAACCGACUAAUGUUGAAAAAUUAGCGGAUGACUUGUGGCUGGGGGUGAAAGGCCAAUCAAACCGGGAGAUAGCUGGUUCUCCCCGAAAGCUAUUUAGGUAGCGCCUCGUGAAUUCAUCUCCGGGGGUAGAGCACUGUUUCGGCAAGGGGGUCAUCCCGACUUACCAACCCGAUGCAAACUGCGAAUACCGGAGAAUGUUAUCACGGGAGACACACGGCGGGUGCUAACGUCCGUCGUGAAGAGGGAAACAACCCAGACCGCCAGCUAAGGUCCCAAAGUCAUGGUUAAGUGGGAAACGAUGUGGGAAGGCCCAGACAGCCAGGAUGUUGGCUUAGAAGCAGCCAUCAUUUAAAGAAAGCGUAAUAGCUCACUGGUCGAGUCGGCCUGCGCGGAAGAUGUAACGGGGCUAAACCAUGCACCGAAGCUGCGGCAGCGACACUAUGUGUUGUUGGGUAGGGGAGCGUUCUGUAAGCCUGUGAAGGUGGCCUGUGAGGGUUGCUGGAGGUAUCAGAAGUGCGAAUGCUGACAUAAGUAACGAUAAAGCGGGUGAAAAGCCCGCUCGCCGGAAGACCAAGGGUUCCUGUCCAACGUUAAUCGGGGCAGGGUGAGUCGACCCCUAAGGCGAGGCCGAAAGGCGUAGUCGAUGGGAAACAGGUUAAUAUUCCUGUACUUGGUGUUACUGCGAAGGGGGGACGGAGAAGGCUAUGUUGGCCGGGCGACGGUUGUCCCGGUUUAAGCGUGUAGGCUGGUUUUCCAGGCAAAUCCGGAAAACCAAGGCUGAGGCGUGAUGACGAGGCACUACGGUGCUGAAGUGACAAAUGCCCUGCUUCCAGGAAAAGCCUCUAAGCAUCAGGUAACAUCAAAUCGUACCCCAAACCGACACAGGUGGUCAGGUAGAGAAUACCAAGGCGCUUGAGAGAACUCGGGUGAAGGAACUAGGCAAAAUGGUGCCGUAACUUCGGGAGAAGGCACGCUGAUAUGUAGGUGAAGCGACUUGCUCGUGGAGCUGAAAUCAGUCGAAGAUACCAGCUGGCUGCAACUGUUUAUUAAAAACACAGCACUGUGCAAACACGAAAGUGGACGUAUACGGUGUGACGCCUGCCCGGUGCCGGAAGGUUAAUUGAUGGGGUUAGCGGUAACGCGAAGCUCUUGAUCGAAGCCCCGGUAAACGGCGGCCGUAACUAUAACGGUCCUAAGGUAGCGAAAUUCCUUGUCGGGUAAGUUCCGACCUGCACGAAUGGCGUAAUGAUGGCCAGGCUGUCUCCACCCGAGACUCAGUGAAAUUGAACUCGCUGUGAAGAUGCAGUGUACCCGCGGCAAGACGGAAAGACCCCGUGAACCUUUACUAUAGCUUGACACUGAACAUUGAGCCUUGAUGUGUAGGAUAGGUGGGAGGCUUUGAAGUGUGGACGCCAGUCUGCAUGGAGCCGACCUUGAAAUACCACCCUUUAAUGUUUGAUGUUCUAACGUUGGCCCCUAAUCGGGGUUGCGGACAGUGUCUGGUGGGUAGUUUGACUGGGGCGGUCUCCUCCUAAAGAGUAACGGAGGAGCACGAAGGUUGGCUAAUCCUGGUCGGACAUCAGGAGGUUAGUGCAAUGGCAUAAGCCAGCUUGACUGCGAGCGUGACGGCGCGAGCAGGUGCGAAAGCAGGUCAUAGUGAUCCGGUGGUUCUGAAUGGAAGGGCCAUCGCUCAACGGAUAAAAGGUACUCCGGGGAUAACAGGCUGAUACCGCCCAAGAGUUCAUAUCGACGGCGGUGUUUGGCACCUCGAUGUCGGCUCAUCACAUCCUGGGGCUGAAGUAGGUCCCAAGGGUAUGGCUGUUCGCCAUUUAAAGUGGUACGCGAGCUGGGUUUAGAACGUCGUGAGACAGUUCGGUCCCUAUCUGCCGUGGGCGCUGGAGAACUGAGGGGGGCUGCUCCUAGUACGAGAGGACCGGAGUGGACGCAUCACUGGUGUUCGGGUUGUCAUGCCAAUGGCACUGCCCGGUAGCUAAAUGCGGAAGAGAUAAGUGCUGAAAGCAUCUAAGCACGAAACUUGCCCCGAG
rnacentral:rRNA from 1 species